GUAGUAAAAAUUGAAAAAUGUGAGAAACAAGUGACAGAGGAAGGAGAGGAGAAACCGAGAAAGAGAAGAAGGAUCGGAGAGGAUCCCUUAAGAGUUAAGACACACUCUUUGGAUCCUAAUUCCUAAUUCCUAAAUUCUAAAACCUAUUUCUUGUCUUAUAUUCCUCUUCACAACCACAACAAACAAUACAUAUGCAGAGGUCGAGUGGUAGUGUUCGCGGAUCCUUGAAUUCCGACAUGGACACCGACCAACACCUACCCACAUACGAUCCUCUCUCCCACGUUGCCCAGAGAGACCUCUCUCGUCUCAGAUCAGCGCAAAACGCUGUCCAUCUUAUCCCUCUUCUCGUUCUCCUCUGCGCCAUCAUCCUCUGAUUCCACGAUUUGAUGGAUGAACUAUUUCACCUUAUGGUCAACGCCUGGUAAAACCCUCACCAUUAUGUUGACUUUUUCACUAAAGUCUCGGGAAGGAACGAAACGAUACCUGCUUGCAGAAACAAAUAUGCGGUGGAUCUCGUCUACUUGUCCUGGAAUCUAGAUACAAAAUUUAUUACGCUCUGUAUUAUUAGAUUGAUUUUUGUAUGUGUUCUCUUAUUCAUUCAAAUCGAAUUUAGUGUAAAAACUUUACAAUAAUUCAUUAUCCCAAACAACUGAGUUAUACCUUGUGAUUAUUUGUUUGUAUGUUUAUUCAUUCACAACAUUUCUUUAA